rnacentral:rRNA from 1 species
AUGAAGAACCACCCCACACGGGGCCAAGGGCGCCGUGACCAAACCGCUCGACGGCGACGCACUCACCGCAAGGUGGACGCGCAGCUGGUGAGGGGGAUGGCAACGGCGCCACCGCCGACCGCUCCGCCGUCGGGCUCCUCUCUCUCACUACUGGGUAGAGGUGGAAGAGAAAGACAGAAAAGAAAUGAACGAAAAGGCGGAGCCUCGCCGCGCCUGGAAGCCUCGCCGUCGGCGGCUGGCCGGCGGCCAGAGAGAACUGCGGGCGCACAGGGGAGCAGGGAAUGGCUCCGCCGCAUCUCCCUGCCUCUCUCUCGCGUCAGGAGGCGUGGGAUAGGAGGGAGGAAAAAAAGGAGAAGGAAAAGAGCGCCGCGGCGCAACCCAGUGGCAGUCGUCGCCGUCGCCGGUGGCUAG